rnacentral:rRNA from 1 species
ACGUUAGCGGCGGACGGGUGAGUAACACGUGGGUAACCUACCUAUAAGACUGGGAUAACUCCGGGAAACCGGGGCUAAUACCGGAUAACACAUGAAACCGCAUGGUUUCAUGAUGAAAGACGGUUUUGCUGUCACUUAUAGAUGGACCCGCGGCGUAUUAGCUAGUUGGUAAGGUAACGGCUUACCAAGGCGACGAUACGUAGCCGACCUGAGAGGGUGAUCGGCCACACUGUAACUGAGACACGGUCCAG